rnacentral:rRNA from 1 species
GACGAACGCUGGCGGCGUGCUUAACACAUGCAAGUCGAACGAAGUGGCGAACGGGUGAGUAACGCGUAAUCAACCUGCCCUUCAGAGGGGGACAACAGUUGUAAAAGACUGCUAAUACCGCAUACUGAAGGAGGAGAUUGUGGCUGAUUAGCUGGUUGGAGGGGUAACGGCCCACCAAGGCGAUGAUUAGGAGCCGGUCUGGGAGGGUGAACGGGCACAUUGGGACUGGAACACGGCCCAGACUCCUACGGGAGGCAGCAGUGGGGAAUCUUCCGAAAUGGACGAAAGUCUGACGGAGCAACGCCGCGGGAGUGAUGACGGCCUUCGGGUUGUAAAGCUCUGUUAAUCGGGACGCGGUACCGGAAUAGAAAGCCACGGCUAACUACGUGCCAGCAGCCGCGGUAAUUC